GUGCUCGCUUCGGCAACACAUAUACUAAAAUUGGAACGAUACAGAGAAGAUUAGCAUGGCCCCUGUGCAAGGAUGACAUGCAAAUUCGUGAAGCAU
rnacentral:snRNA from 1 species